rnacentral:tRNA from 1 species
GGUGAGGUGUCCGAGUGGCUGAAGGAGCACGCCUGGAAAGUAUGUAUACGGCAACGUAUCGAGGGUUCGAAUCCCUCCCUCACCGCCA